GGGCCCGUGGCGCAGUCCGGGAGCGCGUCUGACUGGCAGUCAGAAGGUCAGGGGUUCGAUUCCCCUCGGGUCCACCA
rnacentral:tRNA from 1 species